UCAUUAUCAUACAAAUAAGAGGUGUCGGGGCUGUCGCUGACCCUUUUAAUCAAGGGGUCGUGCACGCCCUAAGCAUCCUCACACAAUCCACCUUACCUUUGUGCAUCAUCGCGUGAGGCUCCCCUAAAAGGGGGCCUGCGUUUUUCACACAGACGCCACAGUAUAGAAUGUUUUGUUUUGCAGUCACAUGCAAUCAAUAUAACUUUCAACAACGGAUCUCUUGGCUCUCGCAUCGAUGAAGAACGCAGCGAAAUGUGAUACGUAAUGUGAAUUGCAGAAUUCAGUGAAUCAUCGAAUCUUUGAACGCAUCUUGCGCCCCUUGGCAUUCCGAGGGGCACACCCGUUUGAGCGUCGUGAAACUCUCAACCCUUCUCCCUUUCUUGUUGAACCGGGAGGAUGGCUUGGACUUUGGAGGCUUCUGCUGGUCUCCUAGAACCGGCUCCUCUUAAAGGAAUUAGCGGGGUCUCAUUUGCCGAUCCUUGACGUGAUAAUAUUUGACGUCUUUUCGAGAGGCAGAGACCUUGCUUCCAAUGGUCUCAUUCAGGGACACCAGUGAGACCCACUAAACCCCUAUUGACCUCAAAUCGGGUGAGACUACCCGCUGAACUUAAGCAUAUCAAUAAGCGGAGGAAAAGAAACUAACAAGGAUUCCCCUAGUAACUGCGAGUGAAGCGGGAAAGGCUCAAAUUUAAAAUCCGAUGAUCUUUGAUCGUCCGAGUUGUAAUCUAGAGAAGUGUCUUCCGCGCCGGACCAUGCACAAGUCUCCUGGAACGGAGCGUCAUAGAGGGUGAGAAUCCCGUCUUUGGCAUGGGACCCCCCGGGGCUUCUGUGAUGCGCUCUCGAAGAGUCGAGUUGUUUGGGAAUGCAGCUCAAAAUGGGUGGUGAACUCCAUCUAAAGCUAAACAUUGGCGAGAGACCGAUAGCGAACAAGUACCGUGAGGGAAAGAUGAAAAGCACUUUGGAAAGAGAGUGAAACAGUACGUGAAAUUGUUGAAAGGGAAACGCUUGGAGUCAGUCACGUCGACCGAGACUCAGCCUUGCCCCUUUGGGCUUGGUGUACUUCUCGGCCAACGGGCCAGCAUCAAUUUUGUCUCUCGGAUAAUGGCAAGGGAAAGGUGGCACCCUUAUGGGUGUGUUAUAGUCCCCUGUCGCAUGCGAGGGAUGGGAUUGAGGAACUCAGCACGCACCUCUCGGUGUCCGGGGCU
rnacentral:rRNA from 1 species